ACAAACGCUGGCGGCGUGCCUAAUACAUGCAAGUCAAACGGGGAAAGUCGCAAGAUGAGUACUAGUGGCGCACGGGUGAGUAACGCGUGGGUAAUCUACCUCGAAGUGGGGGAUAACCAGUCGAAAGAUUGGCUAAUACCGCAUAAGACCACAGGAGCUGAGGCUCUAGGGGUCAAAGGUUUUUCGCUUUGAGAUGAGCCCGCGGGGGAUUAGCUAGUUGGUAGGGUAACGGCCUACCAAGGCAACGAUCCCUAGCUGGUCUGAGAGGAUGAUCAGCCACACUGGAACUGAGACACGGUCCAGACUCCUACGGGAGGCAGCAGUAGGGAAUAUUGCGCAAUGGAGGAAACUCUGACGCAGCGACGUCGCGUGAGUGAUGAAGGACUUCGGUUCGUAAAGCUCUGUUGCAAGGGAAAAAGAAAGUGAUUGUACCUUGCGAGAAAGGAUCGGCUAACUUCGU
rnacentral:rRNA from 1 species